rnacentral:rRNA from 1 species
AUUGAACGCUGGCGGCAUGCCUUACACAUGCAAGUCGAACGGUAACAGGUCUUCGGAUGCUGACGAGUGGCGAACGGGUGAGUAAUGCAUCGGAACGUGCCCAGUUGUGGGGGAUAACAGCUCGAAAGAGCAGCUAAUACCGCAUAUGACCUGAGGGUAAAAGCAGGGGAGCGCAAGACCUUGCGCGAGUGCAUCGGCCGAUGUCAGAUUAGGUAGUUGGUGGGGUAAAGGCCUACCAAGCCGACGAUCUGUAGUUGGUCUGAGAGGACGACCAGCCACACCGGGACUGUGACACGGCCCAGACUCAUACGGGAGGCAGCAGUGGGGAAUUUUGGACAAUGGGCGCAAGCCUGAUCCAGCAAUGCCGCGUGCAGGAAGAAGGCCUUCGGGUUGUAAACUGCUUUUGUCAGGGAAGAAAUCCUCUGGGUUAAUACCCCGGGGGGAUGACGGUACCUGAAGAAUAAGCACCGGCUAACUACGUGCCAGCCGCCGCUGUAAAAC